rnacentral:lncRNA from 1 species
GCUGUUCGACGACAAAAACAUGUGUCACGGGAGGCCAAAAUAGCCUUACGGGCCGCCGGGGACUAAAACGUGUACUAUGGUUUGGACACUAAAAUUCUACCAUGCCUGCAAGCUUACUAUGGUUUGGAGACUCAAACUUCAUUUUACUAUGGUUUGGACACUAAAACCUUUUAGUGUCGGUGUUUAAGGUUAGGGUUUAGGGAUUGGAUCUUGGGUCUAGGUUACCAUAAAAACAUGCGCUAUAGCUCACUUGUGGCAAAAAAUGUCGUAACGGCCUCUCCGAUCUAAAAUGUAGGUGGCAGGUCGGAUGAGGCCAUAAUCAGCCUUAGCAGUCUCAGUGGCCAAAUCAUGGGUGGCGGACGGGAGGCAUGAAAUCGUCGUUUGACGAUGAAAACAUGUGUCACGGGAGGCCAAAAAUAGCCUUACCGGCCUCCGGGGACCAAAACGUGUACUAUGGUUUGGACACUAAAAUUCUACUAUGUCAGCAAAGUUGAUAAGGUUGGGAGACUCAAAUUUCAUUUUACCAUGGUUUCAACACUAAAAUCCUUUAGUGUCGAUGUUUAGGUUUAGGGAUAAGAUUUAUGUAACACCCCUGGUGUUACUAUAACUAAAACUUGAGCAUGGCAUCAUAAGCAUUGGCAUUGCAUAUGUUUGACACACCUAGAGUGCAUUCACUAGGUAAAAAUUUCAAACAAGUUGUAUUGUUCUAGUGUUUUUCAAAUAGGACCCUGGAUAGGGAACUUAACCCUAAAUAGGGAUUAAAGGGGUAAAACCAAACCCAAGUUGAGAAAACCUAAAAGCUUUAGGGUAAAAGUCAUAAAAUAACCCCAAGAAUAAACUUGAAUCACCUUUAUACCCCUGGGAUACCAAAAACCCUAAUUGGAACCCUGGAAAACCCUAAAACCAAACCCUAGGGACCUAUGUGCAAAAUUAGUCCACUUUUGGACUAAAGUGCAAAAACCAAGUCAAAUAAGUUUCUUAAGUCCUUUGGUUCACAAAUGUGUGGACUUGAAAGCCAAACAUUGAGUUUUGGACUUAAAUGCAAAAUGGACCAAAGUUGGAGCCUUGUAACUUUCAAACAUGUUCUUGUGAGAACAAACAUUGAAAUUUCAGAGUUUUGGCUCAACUUUGGAGCCUUGUAACUUUCAAACUAUAGAAUUUUUGCCCUAAAUCACCACACCAAAGUUGUAGAGCAAUCAAAGGAGAACAAUUUUGCUGAAGAGAGCAAGCCAUGUUCUUGUGAGAAAUUUGGAGAUAAUCAUGCUCUAAACUUGACUGUCAGGCUGUUUAAGUUCUGAAUCUCAGACAAGCAGCGCAACUGCAGGCACUUUGGGCAUGAAUUAAUACAUGAUCGAGCAAGUAUUUGCCUAGGAUUGCUAUACCAAGAUUAUAGCUGGAUCCUAGGGCUACAACUUUGCUAAAGAGUGUCGAUCAUGUUGAUAUAUAAAAUCAAGAGAAAAUCUGCCCUAAAUCCUGGCUGUCAGAUGACUGAAGAACAAACGCCAUGGUACAGUGCAUUGGGGAAACAGAUAAGGGUCUGAUCGCCGCGGCAGAAAAUCUCACCGCCGACGACCUAUCCGCGCCGCGAUUUGCGCCGGGGUCGAGAUGAUUAGGCGGCGAGCAUCUCCCUGCGAAGACCUCUUUGCUCCGGAUAAGACCGCCGCGGUGGAGGGCACUAACUCCGGUUGCCACGCGGCCAUCCCUCCUUCCGGCCAUGUCCGGUCACCGGCACCGCCCUCCUCUGUUCGGCCACGCCAUCACGGAUUUGACUGCCUUACGGCCGUGGUUGAACGUGGCAAGCUCUAGGGGAGUGCCGUGCUCAGUGCCAUCGCUGAUCGCCAGCUAGGGCCAGCAAUGGUUAUCACCGUGAUCGCGGCAGUGAUUCACCGCGGCUAUAAAUUCACCCCGUCCUCGCCCCCUUUUCUCAAAUCAACCGAGCUCCGGCCUUCGUCUCCAAAUUGCGAAGCUGUAGCAACCAUUCCUGUCCCCGAUUAGUCACCCUGGCCGGAGAAUUGCCAUUUUCCCCCAAAUCAUUCCGCCGCGCCACCCAAAACAGCCCGCCCGUGGCCAGCUUACUCUGGUAAGUCACUGUCCAAUCCAUGUGUUGUUCUAGUGCUUCUACAUCUUGCGAAGCUCACAGUGGCGUCCGUUUGCUCUAUUCGACCAUGGUUUGGCGGGAACAUGUGCUCACAAACUCGGUGUCUGCCACGAUCGUGGGCAGACGGCUCCCAGGGGGGUUCCUGUCCAAUUAACGGUUGUUCAUAGAUCGUCUUAGGUCGGUAAAGCCUCCCCGAGGGUUAGCUUGAGCAAUCAUCGCCGGCUAUGGCCGGUAUGUACCACGGCAGGGAUGAACAAUAAGCGCGCCGCGGUUGGGGAGCUCCUUGGAGAAGAAAUAGAAGUACGAGGGUAUUUCUGCAAUGUGUCAGCGACUUAGUGCAAUAGUAAAUGAACCUGCUUCGGUUUAGCUGAAAAGACGAGGGCCUCUAUGCAAAGUAGCCAGAGCACGCAGGCGCGCGCCGGCGCGCGACCCUUUUCCUGCGUCGUUGGGCCGACCUGGGUCAGAAUCGGCCCAAGACUGUUACAAGUUUCUCUUUUUCUUUUUAUUCCAGAACUAAAACAAUUAUAGAAAAUGAUAGAAAAAUCAUAAAAUUGUGAAACCAAUUUUCCUAGACUCCUUAUUUUCCCUAGUAUUUAAUAAAAAUAGUUUCAUGAUUUUUAGUUUAAACAGGGAAUUUUAGGGCAUUUAAAAUAGCUUAAAGAAAUAGUUCUGGAAUUUUAGAGAAUUAAUAGUAAUGCCAAAAAUGUUCAAAAUUUUUAUAUGAACACCCCAUAUUAUUUAGAAGCCUUGGGUAGAGUUUGAAUUGAUUUGGACCUUGUUUGAUAACUAGAACCCAAAACCCUACCCCUGCCCUUUGAACUCCUUUACUGACUCCGGAAACCCUAAGUUCUCGGAGUCCCAUGAAGGAAAGUUGUAUUCAAAACUUAGUUAAUAAACCUUUAUUAUCUAUGCACUCUCAUAAGCAUUACAUGACAUUCAUUCUUAUAUAUAUACCUAUAUGGUUAUAUUUAGAAAACGAAGAAGAGAGUGAAGUGACUGAAGAGAAGACACCACCACCUUUGGAAUCUCAGGCAGGGACUUGGCUCUACUUCGACAUCUGCGGGUCCGAGCCUGACUCACCUACUAAUGAAGGCAAGCCCCGGUGCAUGCAACCCCUUUCCUUGUGUUUUUAAAUAAUUUUUGCACACUUUAAGUCUAGUGAAAUGUGCAUUAGGUUCAUAGGAGUUACUUGGAACCCUUUGAUGCAUUGCUUCCUUGAUAUCCAUACCUUUAUAGAUACUUCUGAUGAAGUAUCAAAAAUAUGAUUUACAAAAAUGCUUAGCCCUGCUUAGAUCUUGUGGAUAGAAGUUGUCUUUUGCAAUACUGUUUAGCUCAGGGGUUAUCUUGAGGAAAGAUGACUUCUACCUGCAAGAAUAUUUUCAUUAAGAGCGUGGUGGGAUCUUACUGCAAAGCUCCCUGUGAUGCUCUUUUCAUCCUAAGGAACAGAACCAAUCCUAAGGAUGGAAGUACUUAAAUCGAGACUUGGGUUAGGAACAGGUGAUGUUCUACCCAGGUUGAUUAAGGAUUGGAUGCGUAUGUAGGCCUGCUAGCGCAAGGACUAUCUUAGCUAGCCGCAUACCCUGGAAAUGGGACAGGGUAAGCUUUGCCUCGGGCAGACUAAGGCCAGAAUAAGAUAACACGAAAUGGGCGUGGAGCGGUGGCGGGAGUAGCGUUUACCCUCCGUGGCAAGAGGCUGGACUGUGGUGUAUCUGUGCUCUCGGUUUGCGUGAACCUGAUCUGGUCUUAAGAACCCUGGGGUCGAGUUGACAUAUGCAAGGAUUAAGUGCUACAUAUGUCGUGUGGUUAGAGAUCCUCAGCUGAGUAAAUCGAUUCGGAUCACCGUUAUAUCCCCGGAGAGUGGAGACUUGAUCACUGACCUACAACCUAAGUCAGGAUGUGAACUUCAUGAAUAAAAAUGAUGUUGUAUUGAUGAGAUGAUGAAAUUAGACUAGAGGCAAACAGAGUCUAUUGAUAUUUAAUUUGGCGUUAAAAUAUUGAAAGUAAGGACUCACUCUAGUAAGCUAUUUCUUCAAAAGUAUCUAAGUUGAUUCUUGCUAAAGCCUCUCCUUGAUCCCUAUUUAUCCAGCAUCCCCUUGAGAGUCUUUUCCUUAGUCGGGUAAGACUUGCUGAGUAAUUCCAUACUUAGGGUUUAUCCCUUCGUUGUUUUUAGGUGAGGAAGCGACAAAGUUUUGUUGCUUUUGCUCCAAGGUGGUAUCAAAUGAAGAAGUAGAAGAAUGAAGAUGCGGGAGGACGUGGUCCUCCAUAUAGGACUUUUUGUUUGAUAGUUAUCGGGAGGAGUUUUUACCUCCCUUGGAAUGUGUAAUAAUACUACUCAGCACUCGUUUAUAGCACUGGUCUGUAAUAAGUAACUUGAUCUUACUUUCUAAAUAAAUGUAAGUUUAUGUAAAAGCUUCUGCAUUUCUUUAUCUUCGAUGUUCUGUAAUGUCUGCAAGACGGGUGAGACGUUCCUGGAAAGGUAAGGAAAGAUACCGAACUUGUCAAGUAGUUCAGGGGCACCUACAGGGUUGUCUGAGGUCCGUUGGACAAGGACAACUGUAGGUGGGCCUAAUUACUUGGGAGGUUCCGUCACAGCUGGUAUCGGAGCGUAGCCCUUCUUUGCAGAUAUUAUGCGGCAUCUUCAAAAAGAUUUUCUAAAAAGUCUUACCUAGAAACUCUUUUCCCUUCUUACCUAAGUAUUCUGAAGAGUUUAUCUUAAAGACCAGAUAGGAAGAGUGCAAUGUAUAGAAGGUUGAAUCAACUAAGGUUGAUUCUGUAAUUACACAUGCAUCAUGUCAUACAAACUUUAAGUUAAACCCCCUGUGUAGCUAGUUUAGUACAUGAUUCAUCUACCUUGUUCAUACAUCCUUAGUGAAUAGAGUGCAUCCGUUGCCCUUCUCUAUAGAUGAAUCAACAGGAAGCUCCUACAGGAGUUGGAGAGUUUCUACGAGAUUUUGGUGUUCCAGUGGUCCUGUGGCGACUACUUCAAGAAGUUGGAUAUACCGAAGCACCCAAGUACCAGUGGUCACGCACUGUUCUUAGAGGACAACCAUGGUAUGAGGUAGUAGUGCGUAUUCCAGAACGUGCUAGAAAACCAUCUUGGCCAUAUUGGAUGUUCCAUGCUGAAGGAAUGACUCCUUGGGAGGGUGCUCAGGUAGCUGCCUUAGAGGUGCUAACAACCAUUUGUUACCAGAAAAGGGAAGAAAUACAAGCCACAUCUAUGAGGUUGUUCCCUGCAGUUGCCUUAAGUGACCCAUUGGUGUAUCAUCACCAGGCCCGAUUAAUGGAAAGUAUUCCUAUUGGGCAGGAUUCUGUUGAAUCGGCAUCUGCUCGAGUUUUGAUGGCCGUGCUAGAGUUGCAACUUACUCGAGGGCACAGUCGUCAAAAGUGGCAGCAGUUGUACACUGGGAGUUAUGCAGCAUUUAAGAUGAUGGAAAUGGCCAAGAAUAGUGCUUGUACCCAAGCACAAGAACGACUUGAGGAAACAAAGGUUCAACCGGAACAGGUUAUUGGACUAGAGCAUCAGGUGACAGAACUUCAGAUGCAACACCAAGCUGAUCAGAAUCGCAUUAAGGUGCUUGAGCAUCAGCUAACUAAUGCUCAUUCUAAAUUAAAAAUUUUGAGUCAACAACAAGAAGAAAUUUGUCUGUAUGCUGUUGCUGUUAGAGAAGACCUUAAGGAAACCAUGAGCUUCAUAAGCCAUCAGGAUCAGGCGAUCAAAGAAUUGAAUCGUGCUCAUCCCAUGGAAUUUCAAGUAGCACAACGGCUUGUCAACCAUCUGCAGCAAUCAGUGCAUAGGCUCAAUGCUGCCGUUGAUCCUACUCCUGCAUCGGUGGACUAAGGGUUCCUUGGAAGAAUGGCAACAAACAUCUGGCAGAUGGUGUAGCUAGAGAAGAUGUAGUAGAUCAAUGUAAUAAGGUAGGUGUAGAUAGACCAGCUUGGUAAUAAAAACAGGUUAAACUUCGUUGGAAAGAGUUUUCCUGUUUCACCUGGAUCAUGUAACAUGUGAGCUUUUAUAUGACUAUGGUGUAAGAAACGACUGCCGGUUUCUGAGGCAACUUUUAAUAUCUAUAGUAGUUUGUCAAAAUUCAAGAGUUAAGAUGGCUAUUCCUUUGGAUAUUUCAUGCGGAUCGUCGUGUUGCUUUAUUAACCCAACCUAGGAAAGACAUGUCCGACCAUUUUUUUUGAAUUUGAUGCCUUUGGUUUCCCCAUACCUAUCGAAGGCAUACCAACUUAAUCCUUGACCUUGUGAUUUCUAUGAUGGGCAUAGAAAUAUGCCUGGGGCUGAUUUAACAGUCUCCCAUCGUACUUCUUUCAAAGUUUAGAUUAUGGCCAUGCCUUGGGCCAUGAUCUAUUUGGCGCUCUACUUGUAGCCAUCUUUACUGGUGGAGUAUCCCUUUGUAUAUAGUCACCCUUGCUCAAUCUAUCGGUGUCGCGUGAGAUUUCUUAUUGGUUAUGUCUGGUAAUGGUGUUAUGACUAAAAUCGGUGACACCACGCUGAAACCGAGGGCCUCCGGUGGGUGCACACACAUGGUUGCGCUACUUGGCACGCGCUAGUAUCACAGUUAGUAGUCAUAAUCCAUUAUAAGACUAUAUUGAUAUGUUAUCUCUAUACAAAUUAUUCUUACCACGUGAGAUUCAUUAUUGGUGCCAGUUUUGUAAUGGUGUCAUGGUUAAGGACUUAUGGUACCACGGUGAAACUGAGAGCCUCCUGUGAAUGUGCACCCAAGAUUUUGCUGCUUGGCGCAUGUCGGUAUCGAGGUCUCUAGUCAUGAUCCAUUAUGGAAUUACACUGAUGUGUUAUCUUCCAUUGACCUUUCCUUGAAACAAUUUCUAUGUUGUUUGUGAAAGAGAUCAAGCAACAUCUGUCAUUUCCGUUGGAUCAAAAGGGCAGACCACUUUCAUAUGUGGUCUUAUUUCUUUUGAUCUUGGUAGUGACUACUCAAGUUCCCUUUACAUCCUUUGUGUAAAGGUGAAUCCUUGGAGCUUUUUAGUGUAAGCAAACAACUGAUUAGCUCUCAAAAUAGAGAUCUGUUUCCCCUGCUGCUGAAAUGCAGGAGUUUGUUCAUUCACUCUCUUAUUUAAUCCAUGUAUUCCCUAACCAAGUGGAUAAUUCAUCUCGCUUGAAGAAACGGAUGAACAACCUGACCAAAUGGAUUUCUACCCAAAUGCAUGACCUUUUGCUUGCAAAUGUGAACUCUCAACCCCUUGGCUUACCAAUGGUACUGAGAGGAUUUGCUUAAUGUCAAAAGUAGUUCAACAAGUUGGUUUUGACUAACUUGUAACUGCCCGUUGAACGAAGGCUGAGUUUAAAGAUCGUUUAGUCGAGUUGUCUAAACUCACUUUGGUUCAACUCACCCUAAAGAAAGUGCUUAUCAAAAUCAAAUUAAGUCGACCAGUAACCACUUAAUUAUCGCUCUAGUCACGCCUCGACCGUCUCACACAUGCUUUUCCUGCAUGUGUGAUCAUGUCGAUUCAUGACUAGUGCUGGAUAAAAUGGACUGGUUGCAAAGUCCGCAUCUACAGAUCCCUCCGCUGGUGAUUUUUCUUGAAUCUAUAUCACCUUUCGUGGACUUGGAUUCCUUGGCUAACACGAGUUAACUGGGAUGUUAUUCGACAUUCACACCCAUCUCGUGUGCUAUGAACUUACUGUAACCACUUGUUGGUAAACCUCUUUCUGUGUGUUUUACCCAAGAUGGUGCAUCUGAUUCUGUUUGGGGAAAAAUCGCGUAUUUGCCACUUGCCCAACAGACUCAGAUAGUACAGUGUCAUCAGAAGAAGCAAAUUGCACACAUGGAACCUUAUGUGUUCUUCUGGUGGGCAAAGAUGAAAACUGAAAUUGCACGCUAUGUGGCUAGAUGUGACACUUGUAAACGUGUCAAGGCCAUAUACAUGAAGACUGCUGGUCCAUUACAAUCUUUGCCAAUCCCAACAUGGAAAUGGGAAGAUAUUAGUAUGGACUUCAUUGUGGGAUUACCCAGGACUACAAAAGGGUAUGAUUCUAUCUGGGUGAUUGUUGAUCGACUCACAAAGAUUGCCCACUUCUUACCUGUCAGGACAAAGUAUACAGUGGCCACUUAUGCAGCAUUGUACAUUGCUCGUAUUCUUAGUCUGCAUGGUGUUCCGAAGACUAUAGUGUCGGAUCGUGGACCUCAAUUCGUAUCCAAAUUCUAGGAAGAACUUCAUAAAUCCCUGGGUACUAAACUGCUCCACAGUUCGGCCUAUCAUCCUCAAACCAGUGGACAGACUGGGAGAGUAAAACAAAUACUUGAAGAUAUGCUGCGGGCAUGUAUUCUGGACUUCUCACAGAAAUGGGAUGAAUGUUUGCCCUUAGCGGAGUUUUCAUAUAAUAAUAGCUAUCAAGAAAGUAUCAAGAUGGCACCUUUCGAAGCUUUAUAUGGACGUCGAUGUCGUACUCCGCUAAAUUGGUCUGAACCUGGUGAAAGGUGUUUCUUUAGGCUUGAUAUGGUGAAAGAGGCCGAGGAUAAGGUUCAGAAAAUUAUUCAUAAUAUGAAUAAAGCACAAGCUCGUCAGAAGAGUUAUGCAGACAAACGGCGAAUGCCCUUAUAUUUCCUGGAAGGAGACUAUGUCUACCUGAAGGUCUCACCAAUGAAGGGAGUAUCACGUUUCGGGGUUAAAGGGAAGCUUGCACCACGAUAUAUUGGUCCUUUUCUUAUUUUGGAAAGAUAUGGGCCAGUGACAUACCGACUCCAACUACCCGAAACAUUGUAUGCUGUGCAUAAUGUGUUCCACGUGUCACAAUUGAAGAAGUGUCUUCGGGUUCCCAAUCGAACCGUUGAAGUAACAGAUGUUGUCCUUGAACCGGACUUGACAUACUCUGAGCACCCUAUUCGAGUCUUGGAUCAAAAGGACAGGGUUACCCGGAGAAAAACUCUCAAGUUUUAUAAGAUACAGUGGAACCAGCAUUCUGAAGAUGAGGCUACAUGGGAAACUCCAGACUUUUUAGAUAAGAAUUUCCCAGACUUUUUAGCCUCUUGUAAAUUAUAAAGCCUGUAUAACUGUGUAAUAAAGAAGUGACCCCCACAUCACCCCUGCCUUGUACCAGAAAUAAGGAAAUAAAAGUAUCCCGCGUUUCCUUUUCCAUUACUUACCCUAGGACUUUUAAUCUCGGGACGAGAUUCUUUUAUGGGGGGAAGGAUGUAACACCCCUGGUGUUACUAUAACUAAAACUUGAGCAUGGCAUCAUAAGCAUUGGCAUUGCAUAUGUUUGACACACCUAGAGUGCAUUCACUAGGUAAAAAUUUCAAACAAGUUGUAUUGUUCUAGUGUUUUUCAAACAGGACCCUGGAUAGGGAACUUAACCCUAAAUAGGGAUUAAAGGGGUAAAACCUAACCCAAGUUGAGAAAACCUAAAAGCUUUAGGGCAAAAGUCAUAAAAUAACCCCAAGAAUAAACUUGAAUCACCUUUAUACCCCUGGGAUACCAAAAACCCUAAUUGGAACCCUGGAAAACCCUAAAACCAAACCCUAGGGACCUAUGUGCAAAAUUAGUCCACUUUUGGACUAAAGUGCAAAAACCAAGUCAAAUAAGUUUCUUAAGUCCUUUGGUUCACAAAUGUGUGGACUUGAAAGCCAAACAUUGAGUUUUGGACUUAAAUGCAAAAUGGACCUCAAUUAGGUUCUAUUCUAAGUCUGAAAUUUCAGAGUUUUGGCUCAACUUUGGAGCCUUGUAACUUUCAAACUAUAGAAUUUUUGCCCUAAAUCACCACACCAAAGUUGUAGAGCAAUCAAAGGAGAACAAUUUUGCUGAAGAGAGCAAGCCAUGUUCUUGUGAGAAAUUUGGAGAUAAUCAUGCUCUAAACUUGACUGUCAGGCUGUUUAAGUUCUGAAUCUCAGACAAGCAGCGCAACUGCAGGCACUUUGGGCAUGAAUUAAUACAUGAUCGAGCAAGUAUUUGCCUAGGAUUGCUAUACCAAGAUUAUAGCUGGAUCCUAGGGCUACAACUUUGCUAAAGAGUGUCGAUCAUGUUGAUAUAUAAAAUCAAGAGAAAAUCUGCCCUAAAUCCUGGCUGUCAGAUGACUGAAGAACAAACGCCAUGGUACAGUGCAUUGGGGAAACAGAUAAGGGUCUGAUUGCCGCGGCAGAAAAUCUCACCGCCGACGACCUAUCCGUGCCGCGAUUUGCGCCGGGGUCGAGAUGAUCAGGCGGCGAGCAUCUCCCUGCGAAGACCUCUUUGCUCCGGAUAAGACCGCCGCGGUGGAGGGCACUAACUCUGGCUGCCACGCGGCCAUCCCUCCUUCCGGCCAUGUCCGGUCACCGGCACCGCCCUCCUCUGUUCGGCCACGCCAUCACGGAUUUGACUGCCUUACGGCCGUGGUUGAACGUGGCAAGCUCUAGGGGAGUGCCGUGCUCAGUGCCAUCGCUGAUCGCCAGCUAGGGCCAGCAAUGGUUAUCACCGUGAUCGCGGCAGUGAUUCACCGCGGCUAUAAAUUCACCCCGUCCUCGCCCCCUUUUCUCAAAUCAACCGAGCUCCGGCCUUCGUCUCCAAAUUGCGAAGCUGUAGCAACCAUUCCUAUCCCCGAUUAGUCACCCUGGCCGGAGAAUUGCCAUUUUCCCCCAAAUCAUUCCGCCGCGCCACCCAAAACAGCCCGCCCGUGGCCAGCUUACUCUGGUAAGUCACUGUACAAUCCAUGUGUUGUUCUAGUGCUUCUACAUGCUUGCGAAGCUCACAGUGGCGUCCGUUUGCUCUAUUCGACCAUGGUUUGGCGGGAACAUGUGCUCACAAACUCGGUGUCCGCCACGAUCGUGGGCAGACGGCUCCCAGGGGGGUUCCUGUCCAAUUAACGGUUGUUCAUAGAUCGUCUUAGGUCGGUAAAGCCUCCCCGAGGGUUAGCUUGAGCAAUCAUCGCUGGCUAUGGCCGGUAUGUACCACGGCAGGGAUGAACAAUAAGCGCGCCGCGGUUGGGGAGCUCCUUGGAGAAGAAAUAGAAGUACGAGGGUAUUUCUGCAAUGUGUCAGCGACUUAGUGCAAUAGUAAAUGAACCUGCUUCGGUUUAGCUGAAAAGACGAGGGCCUCUAUGCAAAGUAGCCAGAGCACGCAGGCGCGCGCCGGCGCGCGACCCUUUUCCUGCGUCGUUGGGCCGACCUGGGUCAGAAUCGGCCCAAGACUGUUACAAGUUUCUCUUUUUCUUUUUAUUCCUGAACUAAAACAAUUAUAGAAAAUGAUAGAAAAAUCCUAAAAUUGUGAAACUAAUUUUCCUAGACUCCUUAUUUUCCCUAGUAUUUAAUAAAAAUAGUUUCAUGAUUUUUAGUUUAAACAGGGAAUUUUAGGGCAUUUAAAAUAGCUUAAAGAAAUAGUUCUGGAAUUUUAGAGAAUUAAUAGUAAUGCCAAAAAUGUUCAAAAUUUUUGUAUGAACUCCCCAUAUUAUUUAGAAGCCUUGGGUAGAAUUUGAAUUGAUUUGGACCUUGUUUGAUAACUAGAACCCAAAACCCUACCCCUGCCCUUUGAACUCCUUUACUGACUCCGGAAACCCUAAGUUCUCGGAGUCCCGUGAAGGAAAGUUGUAUUCAAAACUUAGUUAAUAAACCUUUAUUAUCUAUGCACUCUCAUAAGCAUUACAUGGCAUUCAUUCUUAUAUAUAUACCUAUAUGGUUAUAUUUAGAAAACGAAGAAGAGAGUGAAGUGACUGAAGAGAAGACACCACCACCUUUGGAAUCUCAGGCAGGGACUUGGCUCUACUUCGACAUCUGCGGGUCCGAGCCUGACUCACCUACUAACGAAGGCAAGCCCCGGUGCAUGCAACCCCUUUACUUGUGAAAUGUGCAUUAGGUUCAUAGGAGUUGCUUGGAACCCUUUGAUGCAUUGCUUCCUUGAUAUCCAUACCGUUAUAGAUACUUCUGAUGAAGUAUCAAAAAUAUGAUUUACAAAAAUGCUUAGCCCUGCUUAGAUCUUGUGGAUAGAAGUUGUCUUUUGCAAUACUGCCUAGCUCAGGGGUUAUCCUGAGGAAAGAUGACUUCUACCUGCAAGAAUAUUUUCAUUAAGAGCGUGGUGGGAUCUUACUGCAAAGCUCCCUAUGAUGCUCUUUUCAUCCUAAGGAAUAGAAACAAUCCUAAGGAUGGAAGUACUUAAAUCGAGACUUGGGUUAGGAACAGGUGAUGUUCUACCCAGGUUGAUUAAGGAUUGGAUGCGUAUGUAGGCCUGCUAGCGCAAGGACUAUCUUAGCUAGCCGCAUACCCUGGAAAUGGGACAGGGUAAGCUUUGCCUCGGGCAGACUAAGGCCAGAAUAAGAUAACACGAAAUGGGCGUGGAGCGGUGGCGGGAGUAGCGUGUACCCUCCGUGGCAAGAGGCUGGACGGUGGUGUAUCUGUGCUCUCGGUUUGCGUGAACCUAAUCUGGUCUUAAGAACCCUGGGGUCGAGUUGACAUAUGCAAGGAUUAAGUGCUACAUAUGUCGUGUGGUUAGAGAUCCUCAGCUGAGUAAAUCGAUUCGGAUCGCCGUUAUAUCCCCGGAGAGUGGAGACUUGAUCACUGACCUACAACCUAAGUCAGGAUGUGAACUUCAUGAAUGAAAAUGAUGUUGUAUUGAUGAGAUGAUGAAAUUAGACUAGAGGCAAACAGAGUCUAUUGAUAUUUAAUUUGGCGUUAAAAUAUUGAAAGUAAGGAGUCACUCUAAUAAGCUAUUUCUGCAAAAGUAUCUAAGUUGAUUCUUGCUAAAGCCUCUCCUUGAUCCCUAUUUAUCCAGCAUCCCCUUGAGAGUCUUUUCCUUAGUCGGGUAAGACUUGCUGAGUAAUUCCAUACUCAGGGUUUAUCCCUUCGUUGUUUUUAGGUGAGGAAGCGACAAAGUUUUGUUGCUUUUGCUCCAAGGUGGUAUCAAAUGAAGAAGUAGAAGAAUGAAGAUGCGGGAGGACGUGGUCCUCCAUAUAGGACUUUUUGUUUGAUAGUUAUCGGGAGGAGUUUUUACCUCCCUUGGAAUGUGUAAUAAUACUACUCAGCACUCGUUUAUAGCUCUAGUCUGUAAUAAGUAACUUGAUCUUACUUUCUAAAUAAAUGUAAGUUUAUGUAAAAGCUUCCGCAUUUCUUUAUCUCCGAUGUUCUAUAAUGUCUGCAAGACGGGUGAGACGUUCCUGGAAAGGUAAGGAAAGAUACCGAACUUGUCAAGUAGUUCAGGGGCACCUACAGGGUUGUCUGAGGUCCGUUGGACAAGGACAACUGUAGGUGGGCCUAAUUACUUGGGAGGUUCCGUCACAAUUUAGGGUCUAGGUUUCCAUAAAAUCGUGUGCUAUAGCUCACGGGUGGCAAAAAAAUGCCAUAACGGCCUCCCCGGUCUAAAACGAAGGUGGCAGGUCGGAUACAUAAAAUUGGCUGUUUGGCCACGGAAAUGUGUGAUAUAGCUCGCGGGAGGCCAAGAACCGCUUUAAGGUGCUCCGGGGAGAAAAACACGUGUGGAGGAACACGGGCAUAAAAAUGGUCGCUCGGCCAUGAAAACGUGUGCUAUAGCUCACGGGAGGCCAAAACAACCUUACCAGUCUCUAUGGUCAAAUAAUGGGUGGCGGUCGGGAGGCACGAAAUCGCUGUUCGACGACAAAAACAUGUGUCACGGGAGGCCAAAAUAGCCUUACGGGCCGCCGGGGACUAAAACGUGUACUAUGGUUCGGACACUAAAAUUCUACCAUGCCUGCAAGCUUACUAUGGUUUGGAGACUCAAACUUCAUUUUACUAUGGUUUGGACACUAAAACCUUUUAGUGUCGGUGUUUAAGGUUAGGGUUUAGGGAUUGGAUCUUGGGUCUAGGUUACCAUAAAAACAUGUGCUAUAGCUCACUUGUGGCAAAAAAAUGUCGUAACGGCCUCUCCGAUCUAAAAUGUAGGUGGCAGAUCGGAUGAGGCCAUAAUCAGCCUUAGCAGUCUCAGUGGCCAAAUCAUGGGUGGCGGACGGGAGGCAUGAAAUCGUCGUUUGACGAUGAAAACAUGUGUCACUGCACGGGAGGCCAAAAAUAGCCUUACCGGCCUCCGGGGACCAAAACGUGUACUAUGGUUUGGACACUAAAAUUCUACUAUGUCAGCAAAGUUGAUAAGGUUGGGAGACUCAAUUUCAUUUUACCAUGGUUUCAACACUAAAAUCCUUUAGUGUUGAUGUUUAGGUUUAGGGAUAGGAUUUAGGGUCUAGGUUUCCAUAAAAUCGUGUGCUAUAGCUCAUGGGUGGCAAAAAAAUGCCAUAACGGCCUCCCCGGUCUAAAACGAAGGUGGCAGGUCGGAUACAUAAAAUUGGCUGUUUGGCCACGGAAAUGUGUGAUAUAGCUCGCGGGAGGCCAAGAACCGCUUUAAGGUGCUCCGGGGAGAAAAACACGUGUGGAGGAACACGAGCAUAAAAAUGGUCGCUCGGCCAUGAAAACGUGUGCUAUAGCUCACGGGAGGCCAAAACAACCUUACCAGUCUCUAUGGUCAAAUAAUGGGUGGCGGUCGGGAGGCACGAAAUCGCUGUUCGACGACAAAGACAUGUGUCACGGGAGGCCAAAAUAGCCUUACGGGCCGCCGGGGACUAAAACGUGUACUAUGGUUCGGACACUAAAAUUCUACCAUGCCUGCAAGCUUACUAUGGUUUGGAGACUCAAACUUCAUUUUACUAUGGUUUGGACACUAAAACCUUUUAGUGUCGGUGUUUAAGGUUAGGGUUUAGGGAUUGGAUCUUGGGUCUAGGUUACCAUAAAAACAUGUGCUAUAGCUCACUUGUGGCAAAAAAUGUCGUAACGACCUCUCCGAUCUAAAAUGUAGGUGGCAGGUCGGAUGAGGCCAUAAUCAGCCUUAGCAGUCUCAGUGGCCAAAUCAUGGGUGGCGGACGGGAGGCAUGAAAUCGUCGUUUGACGAUGAAAACAUGUGUCACGGGAGGCCAAAAAUAGCCUUACCGGCCUCCGGGGACCAAAACGUGUACUAUGGUUUGGACACUAAAAUUCUACUAUGUCAGCAAAGUUGAUAAGGUUGGGAGACUCAAAUUUCAUUUUACCAUGGUUUCAACACUAAAAUCCUUUAGUGUCGAUGUUUAGGUUUAGGGAUAGGAUUUAGGGUCUAGGUUUCCAUAAAAUCGUGUGCUAUAGCUCACGGGUGGCAAAAAAAUGCCAUAACGGCCUCCCCGGUCUAAAACGAAGGUGGCAGGUCGGAUACAUAAAAUUGGCUGUUUGGCCACGGAAAUGUGUGAUAUAGCUCGCGGGAGGCCAAGAACCGCUUUAAGGUGCUCCGGGGAGAAAAACACGUGUGGAGGAACACGGGCAUAAAAAUGGUCGCUCGGCCAUGAAAACGUGUGCUAUAGCUCACGGGAGGCCAAAACAACCUUACCAGUCUCUAUGGUCAAAUAAUGGGUGGCGGUCGGGAGGCACGAAAUCGCUGUUCGACGACAAAAACAUGUGUCACGGGAGGCCAAAAUAGCCUUACGGGCCGCCGGGGACUAAAACGUGUACUAUGGUUCGGACACUAAAAUUCUACCAUGCCUGCAAGCUUACUAUGGUUUGGAGACUCAAACUUCAUUUUACUAUGGUUUGGACACUAAAACCUUUUAGUGUCGGUGUUUAAGGUUAGGGUUUAGGGAUUGGAUCUUGGGUCUAGGUUACCAUAAAAACAUGUGCUAUAGCUCACUUGUGGCAAAAAAUGUCGUAACGGCCUCUCCGAUCUAAAAUGUAGGUGGCAGGUCGGAUGAGGCCAUAAUCAGCCUUAGCAGUCUCAGUGACCAAAUCAUGGGUGGUGGACGGGAGGCAUGAAAUCGUCGUUUGACGAUGAAAACAUGUGUCACGGGAGGCCAAAAAUAGCCUUACCGGCCUCCGGGGACCAAAACGUGUGCUAUGGUUUGGACACUAAAAUUCUACUAUGUCAGCAAAGUUGAUAAGGUUGGGAGACUCAAAUUUCAUUUUACCAUGGUUUCAACACUAAAAUCCUUUAGUGUUGAUGUUUAGGUUUAGGGAUAGGAUUUAGGGUCUAGGUUUCCAUAAAAUCGUGUGCUAUAGCUCACGGGUGGCAAAAAAAUGCCAUAACGGCCUCCCCGGUCCAAAACGAAGGUGGCAGGUCGGAUACAUAAAAUUGGCUGUUUGGCCACGGAAAUGUGUGAUAUAGCUCGCGGGAGGCCAAGAACCGCUUUAAGGUGCUCCGGGGAGAAAAACACGUGUGGAGGAACACGGGCAUAAAAAUGGUCGCUCGGCCAUGAAAACGUGUGCUAUAGCUCACGGGAGGCCAAAACAACCUUACCAGUCUCUAUGGUCAAAUAAUGGGUGGCAGUCGGGAGGCACGAAAUCGCUGUUCGACGACAAAGACAUGUGUCACGGGAGGCCAAAAUAGCCUUACGGGCCGCCGGGGACUAAAACGUGUACUAUGGUUCGGACACUAAAAUUCUACCAUGCCUGCAAGCUUACUAUGGUUUGGAGACUCAAACUUCAUUUAACUAUGGUUUGGACACUAAAACCUUUUAGUGUCGGUGUUUAAGGUUAGGGUUUAGGGAUUGGAUCUUGGGUCUAGGUUACCAUAAAAACAUGUGCUAUAGCUCACUUGUGGCAAAAAAUGUCGUAACGGCCUCUCCGAUCUAAAAUGUAGGUGGCAGGUCGGAUGAGGCCAUAAUCAGCCUUAGCAGUCUCAGUGGCCAAAUCAUGGGUGGCGGACGGGAGGCAAGAAAUCGUCGUUUGACGAUGAAAACAUGUGUCACGGGAGGCCAAAAAUAGCCUUACCGGCCUCUGGGGACCAAAACGUGUACUAUGGUUUGGACACUAAAAUUCUACUAUGUCAGCAAAGUUGAUAAGGUUGGGAGACUCAAAUUUCAUUUUACCAUGGUUUCAACACUAAAAUCCUUUAGUGUUGAUGUUUAGGUUUAGGGAUAGGAUUUAGGGUCUAGGUUUCCAUAAAAUCGUGUGCUAUAGCUCACGGGUGGCAAAAAAAUGCCAUAACGGCCUCCCCGGUCUAAAACGAAGGUGGCAGGUCGGAUACAUAAAAUUGGCUGUUUGGCCACGGAAAUGUGUGAUAUAGCUCGCGGGAGACCAAGAACCGCUUUAAGGUGCUCCGGGGAGAAAAACACGUGUGGAGGAACACGGGCAUAAAAAUGGUCGCUCGGCCAUGAAAACGUGUGCUAUAGCUCACGGGAGGCCAAAACAACCUUACCAGUCUCUAUGGUCAAAUAAUGGGUGGCGGUCGGGAGGCACGAAAUCGCUGUUCGAUGACAAAAACAUGUGUCACGGGAGGCCAAAAUAGCCUUACGGGCCGCCGGGAACUAAAACGUGUACUAUGGUUCGGACACUAAAAUUCUACCAUGCCUGCAAGCUUACUAUGGUUUGGAGACUCAAACUUCAUUUUACUAUGGUUUGGACACUAAAACCUUUUAGUGUCGGUGUUUAAGGUUAGGGUUUAGGGAUUGGAUCUUGGGUCUAGGUUACAAUAAAAACAUGUGCUAUAGCUCACUUGUGGCAAAAAAUGUCGUAACGGCCUCUCCGAUCUAAAAUGUAGGUGGCAGGUCGGAUGAGGCCAUAAUCAGCCUUAGCAGUCUCAGUGGCCAAAUCAUGGGUGGUGGACGGGAGGCAUGAAAUCGUCGUUUGACGAUGAAAACAUGUGUCACGGGAGGCCAAAAAUAGCCUUACCGGCCUCCGGGGACCAAAACGUGUGCUAUGGUUUGGACACUAAAAUUCUACUAUGUCAGCAAAGUUGAUAAGGUUGGGAGACUCAAAUUUCAUUUUACCAUGGUUUCAACACUAAAAUCCUUUAGUGUCGAUGUUUAGGUUUAGGGAUAGGAUUUAGGGUCUAGGUUUCCAUAAAAUCGUGUGCUAUAGCUCACGGGUGGCAAAAAAAUGCCAUAACGGCCUCCCCGGUCUAAAACGAAGGAGGCAGGUCGGAUACAUAAAAUUGGCUGUUUGGCCACGGAAAUGUUUGAUCUAGCUCGCGGGAGGCCAAGAACCGCUUUAAGGUGCUCCGAGGACAAAAACACGUGUGGAGGAACGCGGACAUAAAAAUGGUCGCUCGGCCAUGAAAACGUGUGCUAUAGCUCACGGGAGGCCAAAACAGCCUUACCAGUCUCUAUGGUCAAAUCAUGGGUGGCGGUCGGGAGGCACGAAAUCGCUGUUCGACGACAAAAACUUGUGUCACGGGAGGCCAAAAUAGCCUUACGAGCUGUCGGGGACUAAAACGUGUACUAUGGUUUGGACACUAAAAUUCUACCAUUCCUGCAUGCUUACUAUGGUUUGGAGACUCAAACUUCAUUUUACUAUGGUUUGGACACUAAAACCUUUUAGUGUCGGUGUUUAAGGUUAGGGUUUAGGGAUUGGAUUUGGGGUCUAGGUUACCAUAAAAACAUGUGCUAUAGCUCACUUGUGGCAAAAAAUGUCGUAACGGCCUCUCCGGUCUAAAACGUAGGUGGUAGGUCGGAUACAUGAAAUUGGCUCUUUGGCCACGAAAACGUGUGCUACAGCUCGUGGGAGGCCAAGGACCACUUUAAGGUGCUCUGGGAACCAAAAAACGGGUGGUGGAACACGUACUUAAAAAUGGUCGCUCGACCAUGAAAACGUGUGCCAUAACCUACGAGAGGCCAUAAACAGCCUUAGCAGUCUCAGUGGCCAAAUCAUGGGUGGCGGACGGGAGGCAUGAAAUCGUCGUUUGACGAUGAAAACAUGUGUCACGGGAGGCCAAAAAUAGCCUUACCGGCCUCCGGGGACCAAAACGUGUACUAUGGUUUGGACACUAAAAUCGUACUAUGUCAGCAAAGUUGAUAAGGUUGGGAGACUCAAAUUUCAUUUUACCAUGGUUUCAACACUAAAAUCCUUUAGUGUCGAUGUUUAGGUUUAGGGAUAGGAUUUAGGGUCUAGGUUUCCAUAAAAUCGUGUGCUAUAGCUCACGGGUGGCAAAAAAAUGCCAUAACGGCCCCGGUCUAAAACGAAGGUGGCAGGUCGGAUACAUAAAAUUGGCUGUUUGGCCACGGAAAUGUGUGAUAUAGCUCGCGGGAGGCCAAGAACCGCUUUAAGGUGCUCCGGGGAGAAAAACACGUGUGGAGGAACACGGGCAUAAAAAUGGUCGCUCGGCCAUGAAAACGUGUGCUAUAGCUCACGGGAGGCCAAAACAACCUUACCAGUCUCUAUGGUCAAAUAAUGGGUGGCGGUCGGGAGGCACGAAAUCGCUGUUCGACGACAAAAACAUGUGUCACGGGAGGCCAAAAUAGCCUUACGGGCCGCCGGGGACUAAAACGUGUACUAUGGUUCGGACACUAAAAUUCUACCAUGCCUGCAAGCUUACUAUGGUUUGGAGACUCAAACUUCAUUUUACUAUGGUUUGGACACUAAAACCUUUUAGUGUCGGUGUUUAAGGUUAGGGUUUAGGGAUUGGAUCUUGGGUCUAGGUUACCAUAAAAACAUGUGCUAUAGCUCACUUGUGGCAAAAAAUGUCGUAACGGCCUCUCCGAUCUAAAACGUAGGUGGCAGGUCGGAUACAUGAAAUUGGCUCUUUGGCCACGGAAACGUGUGCUACAGCUCGUGGGAGGCCAAGGACCACUUUAAGGUGCUCUGGGGACCAAAAAGCGGGUGGUGGAACACGUACUUAAAAUGGUCGCUCGACCAUGAAAACGUGUGCCAUAGCCUACGGGAGGCCAUAAACAGCCUUAGCAGUCUCAGUGGCCAAAUCAUGGGUGGCGGACGGGAGGUGUUGGGUCUAUGCUUCGUCGCCGAAGGUCUUAUAGAAAGAAGUGAUCCUCGGAUGAAGC